rnacentral:rRNA from 1 species
CCUACGGGUGGCUGCAGUGAGGAAUAUUGGUCAAUGGACGAGAGUCUGAACCAGCCAAGUAGCGUGAAGGAUGACUGCCCUAUGGGUUGUAAACUUCUUUUAUAUGGGAAUAAAACAGGGUAUGAAUACCCUCUUGUAUGUACCAUAUGAAUAAGGAUCGGCUAACUCCGUGCCAGCAGCCGCGGUAAUACGGAGGAUCCGAGCGUUAUCCGGAUUUAUUGGGGUUAAAGGGGGCGGAGGGGGGUUGUUAAGUCAGGUGUGAAAGGUGGGGGCUCAACCCGAAAAGUGCAGUUGAAACUGGCAGUCUUGAGUGGGGUAGAGGUAGGCGGAAUUCGUGGUGUAGCGGUGAAAUGCUUAGAUAUCACGAAGAACUCCGAUUGCGAAGGCAGCGCACUGGACUGCAACUGACACUGAUGCUCGAAAGUGUGGGUAUCAAACAGGAUUAGAUACCCCUGUAGUC